ensembl:lncRNA
AGAAUAUCGCGUCUACAACUCACUUUGGUAUCAUAUUCGAAGAACCCAUUCUGAACACUUUGACAGUGGCAGCGCCAAUUUAAGGAGACAAGGAACGACAACAACCUCAAGACUGGACUUCACAUCAGCGAUGGAUCGAAACACUAACAACGUGUGGGCAUAUAGGCCAAUUAAUGCAACGGUGGAGAACAGAGAAUGUCCAGCAGAACAUGCGGUGGAUAACGUAGAGCGACCAACGGAGGCUGCAAUGAUGGAGAACAGAGAG